AAUAGAGUGCCUGACUAAAGGAUUAUCUUGAUAGGAUAAACAAUGUAAGCUAUUACCUCUAUUA
rnacentral:tRNA from 1 species